rnacentral:lncRNA from 1 species
UCAUUAAGCUGUGUUAAAUUCUAAGUCUGGGGUAAACCCCAUAAGUAUCAAAAACCAAGGUGAGUACGAAAAAAAAACAUAAAAGAAAAACAAAAUGUAGUCAAUGGGUCGAAAGAAGCACUCACUGAAGGAAGAGUACUCAGUUGAAAAAAAAGAAAAGAUAAAAAAAAUGGAGUAAUUGAAAACAAGUAAAAUGAAAAAACACACUGAAAAGAAUAAUGACAUUGGGUCUGAACCCAAAACCACUUGUUUCCCCUAUUUUGUAUUUACCACACCAUAACCCAAGCCCCGUUACAACCCAAAAGACCUCGAAAAAUGUGUGUUAUAUGUAGUUGAUACGAAAGGAGAAACUAUUCAAACUUAUGAGUUGAUAUUGCAUAUUCUUAAUUGAGAGUGAAAAC